CAUGCAGUACCCACGGCUGUGCCCUCAUCUGCAGCCUAACUGCUCAUCGCCCCGUCUCAGCCUCUGCCCUCGUCUGCAGCCCAACUGGUCAGCCAGGGCCUGCUUUGCCCGCUCACCUGCUGCCCAGUGUCAUCUUUUGUAGUUUGACUGAUCAUUCAUGCAGCACCCAGGACUGUGCCCUCGUCUGCAGCCCAAACAGUCAUCGCCCUGUCUCAGCCUCUGCACAGGACUCUAAAGUCUGCUUCCCUACUGGUCAGCUAGAGCCCACUCUCUGCCCACUCACCUGCUGUUGUCACCACCCAGUGUCAUCUUCUGUAGUCCAACAGACCAUUCAUGCAGUACCCAGUUGCCCACGGCUGUGCCCUCGUCUGCAGCCCAAACGGUCAUCGCCCUGUCUCAGCCUCCACCCAAACCAGCUGUUGCCUCUGCCCAGUGAUGGGCCUUCAUCCACAGCCAAAACGAAGUCUCAUGCAGCACCCAGGACUGUGCCCUCGUCAGCAGCCCAAACGGUCAUCGCCCUGUCUCAGCUUCUACCCAGGUCUCCCAACUGCGGUCUGCAUCUCUACUGUCAGCCCAUUCACCUGCUGUUGCCACCACCCCGUGUCAUCUUCUGUUGUU